UACGUAGGGUGCAAGCGUUUGUCCGGAAUUAUUGGGCGUAAAGAGCUCGUAGGCGGUUUGUCGCGUCUGCUGUGAAAACCCGAGGCUCAACCUCGGGCCUGCAGUGGGUACGGGCAGACUAGAGUGUGGUAGGGGAGACUGGAAUUCCAGGUGUAGCGGUGAAAUGCGUGAGAUAUCUGGAGGAACACCGGUGGCGAAGGGCGGCAUCCUGGACCGAUAUUGACGGCUGAUGCGCGAAAGCCAGGGGAGCAAACGGG
rnacentral:rRNA from 1 species